CUCAUUUGGAUGCUCUCCUUCGCCCUCCGUGUCAGUAGAGCCUUUCUAAUUUGUUUUAAUUGUUAAUUUUAAUGAGUAGUGUUUUUCUGAUAACAUUUUAGCAUGUUUUGUUGUUUUAGAGAGGGUUUUUAUUGCAUUGCACAAAGCCUGAAGCACCUCAAUGUGGGAGCAAUUUGGAAGCUAAAUUAUUAUUAUUUAUUUAAAUCAAACCCUCCAGCCUCUUUAACCGUUUGGCUGAUUCUGUAAUUGCAGUACCAGUGUGAUGGAAAUGCUCAUGGGGCUGGCAAGGAAGCGUCUGGGUACUCUUCUCAGCUCUGUGACCAUGGCAUAUCCCCAGCCACUGGUUCUGCUUCCUGGGAAGAUUUUUUGGAUCCAGAGCUGUGCUGUUACUCCAGGUUUGCCCGUUUGGAGGCACCUGGAGUAGGACACGAGUAGAAACCUUCUGUUUCAGGGUCUCGUGCCAUCCAUGGAAUAAGCAAAAUUUGGGGGUAUGCAGCAAAGCACCAAUUUCAGCUCAGUUUUUAUCUGGUUGUGGCAGCAGGGCAGGGUGCAGCUGGGGCUGAAUUGCUUUUGGAAAGGGUGGUGCUUCUUUGAUGUGAAGUCACAACAGUCCUUAGGUCAAGGGCAUCUAUGAUGCUCUUUGAAGCUCUCUCCUGUCCCUUUGCUGCCGUGGCCAGUGGGGCUGUGUGGGUGCACCAUGCCCCUGGGGCCCCUGAGACACUUCAUGGCUCCAAGAGGCCACCAAGACUCACCAGACUGUGUCCAGUUAAAAAUCUUCAGAUAGCUCAAGACAGAAGGAUGCUGGCUCACUUUGCCGCUGCUGGGUCGCAUUACAGUCCCCUGUCUGUGACAAUUUGCAACGCGCCAUCGCCCCGGGCAGCAGGAGCUGCUGCAGAUGCCUUUUACACACGGGUCAAAGCCCGGGGAAACCCUGCAGGCGCUCAUGUUUUCAGCGUGCUGAAGGCAAUUAGAGAGGAGCGGAGCUGGCAAGACCAGGGACAACGCUGGAGAAGCUGCGACUAUGGAGCUGUAAUAACAAUUUAGAUUCUAUUUAGAUACAAGUGGCUACAAGUCGUGUCUCAAUAUUGAAUCAAUCGACACAGACAAAUGGUUUAAUAUGGAGGUUUUCGCCGGAGAGGAAGGGCUUUAGAGGCACCCAGAUGGGGUGGACAUCAGGGACAGAAGCAGAGCUUCUGGCUGCAAGAGGGGAGACAGAAAGGGGUGAUCCUGUGGGGAACAAAUGCCCUUUCUCGCAGCUCUUGGCGCUCUGGGCUGGCUUAUGCUCGGCAUCGAUUGAGGAGGUAUUUUUAGAGGCAGUCUGGUAUUUGUUAACCUUCUUGUGCAGAGUGGAACUCACUUCUCUAAAGCAUGUGUGCGCGCACGCGUGCGGGAGGCAGGAGAGAUCCCGCCAGAGAUAAAACCUGAGUAGCCAGCCCCAGCCAAAGGCCGGGCACAGCUGUAUAAAUAGGAGGUGGCCCCCCUCACCCCCCACCUCCUCACAGUCAGUGGGGCUGGUGACACUGGAGAAUGCUUUGCUGUCAUUAGUUAAUUGAGCUGCCGAUGUUAAGAAAAGGUUAUGUAUUUCUCCUGGUAGUUUUUCUUUGUAAAACUCUGACAGGGAUCUCUUGCAAUAGCAGUGGUAAUGUCCCAGCUGGGGCGUCCAAG
ensembl:lncRNA